AUGUUACCAUUGGUGUGCUAUAAGUUAAGUUUAGGUAUUCAAUGGUUGAAAUCUUUGGGCCAUAUCCUUUGGAAUUUUGAUAAGUUGCGGAUAGAAUUUACCACAAACGGUUGCAAGUUUGUUCUAAGAGGUGCCAAGACUCAGAGUUUCAAGAUAAUUAACAACAAAUCCUUUAUCCAUGUUGUACAUGUUAGGUGGACAUGUAUUAUUGUUUUAAUCUACUGUUAUUAG